rnacentral:rRNA from 1 species
UACGUAGGGGGCAAGCGUUGUCCGGAAUCAUUGGGCGUAAAGCGCGUGUAGGCGGCUCGGUAAGUCUGCUGUGAAAGUCCAGGGCUCAACCCUGGGAUGCCGGUGGAUACUGUCGAGCUCGAGUCCGGAAGAGGCGAGUGGAAUUCCUGGUGUAGCGGUGAAAUGCGCAGAUAUCAGGAGGAACACCGGUGGCGAAGGCGGGAUCCUGGGCCAGUACUGACGCUGAGGAGCGAAAGCGUGGGGAGCAAACAGG